CAAAUGAUAGUGAGCACAGAUA
rnacentral:piRNA from 1 species